GAUGAAGGACGGGACGAACACCGAUAUGCUUCGGGGAGCUGUAAGCAAGCUUUGAUCCGGAGAUUUCCGAAUGGGGAAACCCACCACUCGUAAUGGAGUGGUAUCCAUAUCUGAAUACAUAGGAUAUGAGAAGGCAGACCCGGGGAACUGAAACAUCUAAGUACCCGGAGGAAGAGAAAGCAAAUGCGAUUCCCUGAGUAGCGGCGAGCGAAACGGGACCAGCCCAAACCAAGAGGCUUGCCUCUUGGGGUUGUAGGACACUCUGUACGGAGUUACAAAGGAACGAGGUAGAUGAAGAGGUCUGGAAAGGCCCGCCAUAGGAGGUAACAGCCCUGUAGUCAAAACUUCGUUCUCUCCUGAGUGGAUCCUGAGUACGGCGGAACACGUGAAAUUCCGUCGGAAUCCGGGAGGACCAUCUCCCAAGGCUAAAUACUCCCUAGUGACCGAUAGUGAACCAGUACCGUGAGGGAAAGGUGAAAAGCACCCCGGAAGGGGAGUGAAAGAGAUCCUGAAACCGUGUGCCUACAAGUAGUCAGAGCCCGUUAACGGGUGAUGGCGUGCCUUUUGUAGAAUGAACCGGCGAGUUACGAUCCCGUGCAAGGUUAAGCAGAAGAUGCGGAGCCGCAGCGAAAGCGAGUCUGAAUAGGGCGAAUUGAGUACGUGGUCGUAGACCCGAAACCAGGUGAUCUACCCAUGUCCAGGGUGAAGUUCAGGUAACACUGAAUGGAGGCCCGAACCCACGCACGUUGAAAAGUGCGGGGAUGAGGUGUGGGUAGGGGUGAAAUGCCAAUCGAACCUGGAGAUAGCUGGUUCUCUCCGAAAUAGCUUUAGGGCUAGCCUCAAGGUAAGAGUCUCGGAGGUAGAGCACUGAUUGGACUAGGGGCCCCUACCGGGUUACCGAAUUCAGUCAAACUCCGAAUGCCGAUGACUUAUCCUUGGGAGUCAGACUGCGAGUGAUAAGAUCCGUAGUCGAAAGGGAAACAGCCCAGACCGCCAGCUAAGGUCCCAAAGUAUACGUUAAGUGGAAAAGGAUGUGGAGUUGCUUAGACAACCAGGAUGUUGGCUUAGAAGCAGCCACCAUUUAAAGAGUGCGUAAUAGCUCACUGGUCGAGUGACUCUGCGCCGAAAAUGUACCGGGGCUAAACGUAUCACCGAAGCUGCGGACUGUUCUUCGAACAGUGGUAGGAGAGCGUUCUAAGGGCUGUGAAGCAAGACCGGAAGGACUUGUGGAGCGCUUAGAAGUGAGAAUGCCGGUAUGAGUAGCGAAAGAGGGGUGAGAAUCCCCUCCACCGAAUGCCUAAGGUUUCCUGAGGAAGGCUCGUCCGCUCAGGGUUAGUCGGGACCUAAGCCGAGGCCGAAAGGCGUAGGCGAUGGAUAACAGGUUGAUAUUCCUGUACCACCUCCUCACCAUUUGAGCAAUGGGGGGACGCAGGAGGAUAGGGUAAGCGCGGUAUUGGAUAUCCGCGUCCAAGCAGUUAGGCUGGGAAAUAGGCAAAUCCGUUUCCCGUGAAGGCUGAGCUGUGAUGGCGAGCGAAUUAUAGUAGCGAAGUUCCUGAUUCCACACUGCCAAGAAAAGCCUCUAGCGAGGUGAGAGGUGCCCGUACCGCAAACCGACACAGGUAGGCGAGGAGAGAAUCCUAAGGUGAUCGAGAGAACUCUCGUUAAGGAACUCGGCAAAAUGACCCCGUAACUUCGGGAGAAGGGGUGCUCUGUUAGGGUGCAAGCCCGAGAGAGCCGCAGUGAAUAGGCCCAGGCGACUGUUUAGCAAAAACACAGGUCUCUGCGAAGCCGUAAGGCGAAGUAUAGGGGCUGACGCCUGCCCGGUGCUGGAAGGUUAAGAGGAGCGCUUAGCGUAAGCGAAGGUGCGAAUUGAAGCCCCAGUAAACGGCGGCCGUAACUAUAACGGUCCUAAGGUAGCGAAAUUCCUUGUCGGGUAAGUUCCGACCCGCACGAAAGGCGCAACGAUCUGGGCACUGUCUCAACGAGAGACUCGGUGAAAUUAUAGUACCUGUGAAGAUGCAGGUUACCCGCGACAGGACGGAAAGACCCCGUGGAGCUUUACUGCAGCCUGAUAUUGAAUGUUGGUACAGCUUGUACAGGAUAGGUAGGAGCCUUGGAAACCGGAGCGCCAGCUUCGGUGGAGGCAUCGGUGGGAUACUACCCUGGCUGUAUUGACCUUCUAACCCGCCGCCCUUAUCGGGCGGGGAGACAGUGUCAGGUGGGCAGUUUGACUGGGGCGGUCGCCUCCUAAAAGGUAACGGAGGCGCCCAAAGGUUCCCUCAGAAUGGUUGGAAAUCAUUCGCAGAGUGUAAAGGCACAAGGGAGCUUGACUGCGAGACCUACAAGUCGAGCAGGGACGAAAGUCGGGCUUAGUGAUCCGGUGGUUCCGCAUGGAAGGGCCAUCGCUCAACGGAUAAAAGCUACCCCGGGGAUAACAGGCUUAUCUCCCCCAAGAGUCCACAUCGACGGGGAGGUUUGGCACCUCGAUGUCGGCUCAUCGCAUCCUGGGGCUGUAGUCGGUCCCAAGGGUUGGGCUGUUCGCCCAUUAAAGCGGUACGCGAGCUGGGUUCAGAACGUCGUGAGACAGUUCGGUCCCUAUCCGUCGCGGGCGCAGGAAAUUUGAGAGGAGCUGUCCUUAGUACGAGAGGACCGGGAUGGACGCACCGCUGGUGUACCAGUUGUUCUGCCAAGGGCAUCGCUGGGUAGCUAUGUGCGGACGGGAUAAGUGCUGAAAGCAUCUAAGCAUGAAGCCCCCCUCAAGAUGAGAUUUCCCAUUCCGCAAGGAAGUAAGAUCCCUGAAAGAUGAUCAGGUUGAUAGGUCUGAGGUGGAAGUGUGGCGACACAUGGAGCUGACAGAUACUAAUCGAUCGAGGACUUAACCAAUUU
rnacentral:rRNA from 1 species